CACCCCCAGCAACACUUGGGCGCUCAGGCCUCCCCCUGCAUUUGGAAGGAGCCCACAAGUCCUGUUAGCCAGGGUGGACCAGCUGCACAUCUGCCCCAGCCCCGAAAACAUCAGCAGGAGCAGAGACAAUAGUCUUUUGCAGAACGGCCCUCGGGGGAAGCAGCUGUGCUGGGGAUGGGGAAGGAUACUUGGAUAGGGACCGCAGGGAGGGGCCCCCACGGGUGCCCUCAAUUGCAGGGGCUUUUGCUUUGCUCAGAGGGGGCUGCAGAUCGGAGGCCAGAGAUGAAGUCUCCGAGCGAGCGAGCGAGCAGAAUGGAGAGGCUGAAGCUGCCCCCCCAAGGGCCCUUCUUCCUGCUGGGCCCUUCCUUUAUUUAUUCAGAGCACUCAGCCUUUCCGUUGAGUAAAUACUGAACAAAUACUGUAAAACCACCGUUUAAACAGUGUGGAAUUAUGAGCCUGUCUCCACCCGCACUGACCGCAGCGCCCCCGGGCCUGCGGGUGGGGAUGGACGCGCGGGCGCCUGGCGAGGCGGGCACUUCCGGCGCCGCCAUCUUGCCGGCGGUGCUCAUGUGCCGAAGGAACCGGAAGCCGCGCUCAGACCGGAAGUCACGUGGCCAGCGUGACUUUGGCGUGAGGUAGGAGAAGGGCGGAUGGCUGGGUAGGGAGCUUUUGCCUCGCGAGGUAGGAGCCGGGAUGAGAGGGAGGUUUUUAGGCCCAGAGAAGGGGCGCUGUGGUGUGGUCUGAGGGUCUCCCGGGAAGGCGGGAAAUAUGCGGAGAGGCAGAGGCAGCGCUGCCUCUGUGACGACGCUGACGCGUUCUCUCACAACCGCGGAGCCCGGAGGUGGUUCCCUCGAGGGAAGCGGUAGGCGCCCCCGUAGAGGCCUUGGCUGUGGAGCGACACCUGAGGAAGUGUGUUCACCAGCCUCCUGCUCCCGCUGCCGCUGCCGGAGGGAGAGAGAUUCAGGGCCCUGCGUGCAUGCGACGUGCCUCCUCCCUGGGGGCUCGGCGGAGCCACCGACGAUGACGUCAACACCCAGAACCCAGAAACCUUUUAUCCAGACACCCUUUCCUGCUACCAGAGAAGGAAACCGGCUGAUGUUGAUGCCAUUGGCCAGAGUGGCUUCUCCAUUGCUUCCUACCACUCAGUUCGGAGCUUUCCCAAGAGAGAAUUCACGGAGUACAGAGUCACAGGAGGACAUGUGA
rnacentral:lncRNA from 12 species